rnacentral:rRNA from 1 species
CGGUGACGUGGAGCAAACCUCAGAAAGCCAAUCUCAGUUCGGAUUGUAGGCUGCAACUCGCCUACAUGAAGUUGGAAUCGCUAGUAAUCGCGAAUCAGAAUGUCGCGGUGAAUACGUUCCCGGGUCUUGUACACACCGCCCGUCACACCACGAGAGUUUACAACACCCGAAGUCAGUGGCCUAACCGCAAGGAGGGAGCUGCCUAAGGUGGGGUAGAUGAUUGGGGUGAAGUCGUAACAAGGUAGC